CAGUCUCUUUAUCUGCUGCAGGAGAAGAAUACAGACCACAAGGCAGUCAUUCCAAAAUCAGAGCCUGCAUUUUAGAGAUUUUUUUAAGAAGACACCAGAUUUUAUUCAAUUCCCGUCACUCCCGGACUCCAUCUCCCAUGAUCCUCCCUGGUCCACACCUGCAUUCACUUCCUCAUCACUCUCCUGAUCACGGAUUCCCUGCACCUGCACUUCAUCGUCAGCACUCUCUUUAUGUGGACUCACUUCCCUGCACUCCUUUGUCUGUUUUUAUGUUUGCUAAAUGGUGUAGUUGUUCUGUUCUUGUUAUAUUUGGAGAAUAAACCUGUUGUUGCUGAAGUUCUUUCCUGCAUCCACUCUUGCUUGCAACUACCCGUAACAGAAGAACAGAUCAAGACCGAAAGGACACCGCAGCACUAUGGGGAUUUUCCUUCUCCCGACUUCUUAAGUACUCCCCAAGACCAGCAUUCAAGCAGUGGCUCGUCUGUGGAGGAUUAGGCAGGACGGUUGUCUGCUGGAGAGCCCCUUCAGAAACACACGUGGCCUGGUCAGUUCACCUCCCGCCGGUUUCCUCCACAUAUCCCUCCAGUGGGCCUUCCCAUCUUGUCCUGCCUGUCUCUAAGCCUACCCAGAAGAUGGCCGCCUCGGCAUCGGAGUCCUGCCAUGAAAUGGCCGCCGCCAAGCUCAAGCCGCCGAAGAAAAUGGCCACCGCCGCAUUGGAGUCACGCCAUGAAAUGGCCGCCGCCAAGCCUGAGCCGCCGAAGAGAAGGGCUGCCGCCACAAAGGAGCCCUCUCCAGACUCCGCUCCAGUGCCCGAGUCGUCUCCAGACUCCGCUCCAGUCGCCGAGCCCACACCAGACAAAACCAUAAACCUAAAUAUUUAAAAUUUAUUACCCUUUCUAGUGGCUGUUUAUAUAAGUAAAGUGUAAUAUUUUCUGCAAUCCUUUUUUUUUUUUUUUUUUUUGUAAAAUGACAACACGUUUUGGGUAUAGAGAAUCUAAAUCCUCAUUCCACUGACCAUUUCUCUACAACCCCAAUUGCUUGAAUUUUAUGCACAAUAUAUUUAACAUGUCUUCCUCUCUUCCAUCAUCUGCAUAUAAUGCUGUUUUAAUUCCUUUUUAUUGUUUAAUAACAAACAUCAUUGAUCAUUAUGUUAAAUAAUACAGGACUUAUAGCACUUCCAUGAGGUGUUCCAUUUUCUACAUUUACCAUCUGAGAUGAUAUACUGCCCACCUUGACUUGAAUCGUUUGUCUAAAUAAGAAACUUAAAACCCAAUUAUAAAAUCUUCCUUCAAUUCCAAUUCUUUGCAACACCUCGUUCAUUGCUAAAGCCUUUUUUACAUCGGUUUCUAAUCUUAUUAAUGAGUCUAAAGUGGAUCUACCUGGUCGAAAACCAAACUGAUAAUCCUCUGCUUUCUAACACAUAGUAAAGGUGAUUAACAAUCAAUUUUUCCAUCACUUUACAGAGGUUAGACGUCAGAGCUUUCAGCCUAUAAUUUCCUGCUAUUGCAUAAUCUUUCCCUGGUUUGGGAAUAGGGAUUAUGAUGUCUUGUUUCCAAGAUAAAAGUAGUUGUCCUUCCACCCAUAUUUUAUUAAAAAGGUGCAAUAUUGCUUUAAGUAUUACUUCAUCUAUAUGUUUAAUCGUAGUAUAGCAAACUCUAUCUUGUCCUGGAGCAGUACUUCUAACCCUCAUUAAUACUCUUUUAAGUUCCCACAUUUUAAAGGUGGCAUCUAAAGCUGUUUGACUAUUAGUUUUUUUUUUUUUUUUUUAUAUAAUAUAUCUCUUCAUGUUGCUUUACAAUUUCUUCCCUCCUUCUCUUAUAAUUACUUACUGUGCUGUGUGCCUUUUGAAAGGUGGAAGCUAACAUUACAGCUUUUUCUUUUUCGGUCACUGCUGUUUUCCCUUCAUUUGCUUAAACUGGAAUAUUCUGAGCUCUCCAUUCCGUCAAUGCAUAACUUGUUAAAUUUAUUCCAAUCAGCUUUAUCGAACCUCCACCUAGUUUGCUUUGUUUUAUUUUGUUGAUAAAUUUCCAAUCCAACAUCACAUAUUAUUGGAAAGUGGUCACUUCCUAAUGUUGAUUGAUCUAGAUCUUCCCACUGACAUUCUAAAGCUAUAGCUCCAGAAACUAUUGUUAGAUCUAGAAAAGAAUUCGAUGAAUCCUUUAUAUUAAAUCUAGUUCCCUUACCAUCAUUUAAACACACUAAAGCUUGUUUCUCCAUAAAGAUAUUGCAUGUGUUGAUUUAGUCACAGUUAUUGUUUAAUGACAUUGGUGUCAUCUCUCAUCGUCUAGUCUUAGUCAUGGAAAAAAAUGUCAACAAACAUUUUUUGUCAUAAUUUUCGUUAACGAAAUUAACACUGCCUCCAAGUUGUGGUUGUCAUUGCUAUUGUUAUUUUUGGCAUAUGCCUACCAAUGCAACUACAUUGCCAUUGAAACCAGCAGAUAUUCCGGAAAACGAAAGAGCAACAUGGACACGCAAAUUGGAUCUGAACAGUUGCGAUACACAUUGUGGACAAUGAGUAAUUUUAGAUCAGAUUCCAAUCAGAUAAACAAAAAAUUGGAUUUGGACUGACAGUGUGAACGUCGCCUUAUUGUUAUUUAGCUCUUCUAAUUCUAAGUCAUCCCUUCCAUAAACAAAAAAAAACAAACACUGUUUUCAUGAACCGCUCCCUACAUAACACGAUAGUCCAAGUAAGACUAAUAUACACUGCCCGGCCAAAAAAAAAGUCACUGUUUGGAUUUAAGGCCCGUGUAUACUUUUUGCAUGCCCGCGGAUCCUCCUGAUGGUGAAAAUUACAUCACAUAGACAGCCAAAGUAUACUUUGGGCUUUAAAUAGGCAAAUGCUUAAGAGUCUAUGACUGGAUCAUUAUUGCAGUGAUUAUUAUGUUUCUAGCAUGUUAAAUGUUUGGCAACAGUUCUUUUAACUCUAAUUGGUGGAGUGUGUACCUUUUCAUUUCUUAAACAACCAUGUAUGAGCACACAUCUUGGCCAUAUUCCAGGUUGACAAAGCCAAGAUUCGUCAGGUUCAAAUUGUGAAAUAAUGGUUAGGAGGAAGCAUGAAGAAUCAUUUUCACACAAGAAUUGGCACCUCUGAGUCAAGACCUUAAAGGAUUAGUUUACAAUAAAAUGAAAUAAUUAUUGCUUUAGCCUCAAGUGAUAUUUAUAUAUGACUUUCUUCUUUCACAAUCUAAGUUAUACUGAUUAGGCAUAACCUUAUGACGACUUUCCUAAUAUUGUUGUUCCCCCUUUUGGCUGCCAAAACAGCCCUGACCCGUCGAGGCAUGGACUCCACUAGACCCCUGAAGGUAUGCUGUGGUAUCUGCAACAAGAUGUUAGGAGCAGAUCCUUUAAGUCUUCUGACUUGUUUGUUCAGCACAUCCCACAGAUGAUUGAUUGGAAUGAGAUCUGGGAAAUCUCUGACAGCGUGCGAUCCCUUCAGUUCUCUUUCGCGCCUUAUUGCCCCCCCCCCCCCAACACACACACACACACUCACUCACUCACUCACUCACUCACUCACUCACUCUCUCUCCCACUCACUCUCUCCCACUCACUCUCUCUCCCACGCUCUCCCACUCACUCUCUCUCCCACUCACUCACUCUCCCACUCUCCUUCCUUUCCCCCUGACACAAGUCACUGAAAGUUCUCAGAGAAGUAUAAUGUAUCUGGUGUAUCUAUUGUUAUUUCCUUUCAUGUUUGGUAUCAUUUUAAAUGUCUCAGUGCGAUUGGUAAAAUGGCCUCAAUUUCACAGCAGUCACUGGUAUUAUGAAGAAGACUGAAAACUAAGGAGAAUUCUGUCCUCCUUUUGGGUGUUGAAAAAACCCACUCCUCUCCCCCCAAAACAGGUGUUGGUGUAAUAAAUAUUCACAACCCUUUUGUUCUGGUCUGUAUAUAAGGUAAAGUGCAAAGCAGUCAUGGGGGAUUUUCUGUAGCCAGAGACCCCCACACAGUGUCUUCAAGUGUCUUCAAACACUAAUCCACCACUGUGUGCAUGUGCAUUUCAAUUGAUGUUAUGCAUUUAUUAUUUGUGAAUUGGCUUCUAAUUGUCCAACUAUGAAAUUAACGCGAUACAUUUUUUACUUGACAAAUAAAAUGUUAUAUUUGAUUUACUCUGGAUUCUUCUGAAAUCAUUAUGACCAGUAGAUUCUUGGAGUCCAUAUUUCCACAAAUCUGCGUCAGGAUAGAUUCAAACUAAAGUCCCAUGAAAGGAGCAUGUUAGCACAUCAUGGGACUUUUUGAUUUUUAUCUAUCAACUGGCUUAGCAAGUUGCAGUAUUGUGACUAAGAAAACUGUGUUUUUGUAUGAACAAGCAUGUGGCGGUUCGACUCAAACGCAUUAGUAAACUCUGCACCCUCUGACUAAGAUCAGAACUGGCGAGUUUGUGAUCGUGAAAGGCACUCACCGGCCGAAGUGACUUUUCUAAGUGAUAUGGGUCCGUAAUAAACAAAUUAUUGAAAAUAUGAGAUACCCAGAAUAAUCAAAAAUCUAAAUUAGUACAUAACAAAUGAUUAAUUUCUAAUUGGGAACACAACCUAAGAGUAAUAAUCAUUUAAAAUCGGAGUCAGAUUAAACGAGUGAAAUUAAGUGAACUUCACAGAGGCGCUGAAAAGACAUACACGCGUUAACCUUCGCCCAGGCCGUCGGAUUCCGUUUUUGGGCCGAUGCGGGGUUCCUUACACAGUAAACCUGCUGCUAUCUGUUAAACAACAAAAAAUAAAGAGAAAUUCACUCACUGCUCUUGACUGAAUAGCUUUUGUAGCUUUAUUAUUAAUCAAUGUAUAUUUAAUUCAUGUGUUUUAGAUUUACAUUUGAUCAUUCAGUUUCUGUAUUGUUUCUUACCUGAACGCUAUUUCAAGUAAGAAUUUGUCCUAUUGUAUUUGUCCUAUUGUCUGUAAUUAUUAUUUUUCAAUAACAAAGAUAAAUAAAUUAAAAUAACAAAAACAACUAAUCGUCCACCCCUAGUUUCAGGUGUUAGUUUCAUGUUCUUGAUGUUAAGGUUAAUAUAACUAUACUUUGCACCUUGACAUUGCGUAGUUUUUUUUUUUUAGUCUGAAUUAGAUUUAAUUAGAUCAGAAGAAUAUCUAUUACCUGUGCAUUUCUAUAGGGAAUUCUUAUAUCGCAAGAAAUAUCGUUAUCGCAAAACUCAACAACAAUGUUGCAUAUCGCAUAUUUUCCCAGUAUCGUGCAGCCCUACCGCCCAUGACCCUGUCGCCGGUUCACCACUGUUCCUUCCUUGGAGCACUUUUGAUAGAUACUGACCACUGCAGACCGGGAACACCCCACAUGAGCUGCAGUUUUGGAGAUGCUCUGACCCAGUCGUCUAUCCAUCACAAUUUGGCCCUUGUCAAACUCGCUCAAAUCGUUAUGCUUGCCCAUUUUUCCUGCUUCUAACACAAAAUGUUCACUUGCUGCCUAAUAUAUCCCACCCACUAACAGGUGUCGUGAUGAUGAUCAGUGUUAUUCACUUCACCUGUCAGUGCUCAUAAUGUUAUGCCUGAUCGGUGUAUAUUAAUAAAUAUCCUGACGCAUCCAAGCUUUAUAAUGGCAGUGAUCGGGACCAACGAGUAUGAAGUUUAAGAAAGUGCAUCCAUCCAUCAUAAACGUGAUGACUGACGUCGCAAUAGUUAAGCUUUUUUCGUAAUUUUGGACAUAGCAUAAGCAUUUUGAACUGCGAGAGUUUUACACUUUCUUCGUAAGUUGAAUAUGGAAGGAGGACUUUCAAAUUCACUGAAAUUCUUUGGGAUGUGCUGGACUAGACUUUACAGAUUGCUUGGCUCUUGCAUUGUCAAUAAAAGAUCUUAACCAAAAAUUGAUGCACCUCUUGAUGAAAACAAAUGUUGUGAUUUCCAUCAAGAGGUGUAUCAAUUUUUGAAUUUAGAGUCGGUUGUUAGUCGCCAGCAGCACAGCAGCUCCAGACAAACAAUGACACUCAAAAGUGUCCUGUUACUACAGCUAACAUUACAACAACAGUAUAUCUUGGUUCUGUGAAACACAGCAAAACCAGUAUUACUCGCGUAUGGAGCAAAAACAACGCAAACUUGGCAUUUGUUUUCAGGCCUUCCCACUUGGGUCUCUCCAGUGCUGGAAAGCUUUUCUAAUAUUAAGGCGGGUUCUACAGCUUUUGCCUGAUCAUAACCCUUCUUAAUCAUAAUUCCUCUGAUCUUUUCUCUUUUGUAAUGUCUCUCAGCCGUCUCUCGUUCUACAGUCUUUCUUCAAAUCUCCCUCUUGCUCACACACUCUCCUCCCCCAUCAUGAGUGGACACGCCCCCUACUGCUGAUUGGCUCACUCUCCUCCCCCAUCAUGGGAGGGCACGCCCCCUACUGAUGAUUGGGGCAGUAUAAUAUGCAGUGGGAGUAUUUAUAGAUUUGAAAAAAGCUUUUGAUGCAAUUGAUCACCAUUUAUUAAUCAAUAAACUAGAUAAGUAUGGUAUCAAAUGGGUUGUACAUGAUUGGAUGAAAAGUAACAGACUUCAGUUUGUGCAAAUAGGGGAGUACAGAUUAGAGUGCUUGGCUAUCAUAUGUGAAGUCCCACAGGGGUCAAUGUUGGGUCCCAAAUGAUUUAUUCUGUAUAUAAAUGAUAUAUGUAGGGUGACAAACUUCUUAAAAUUUGUGAUUUUUUUUGCUGCUGCUAUUUGGAAACUGCAAAACUGAUACACAAGUAAAAGUAAUAAUUAAUAAUGUUGAAAUAGAAAGAGUGUGAAAAUAAAUUUCUGGGUGUGAUACUUGAUUACAAAAUCUGCUGGAAACCACAUAUGCAAAAGUAGCACAGCGUAUUGGAGUUAUUGGAAAAACGGCAUGUGUUGAAUAAGAAAGUACAUUAUAUUUGUGAUGAGGUUCAAAGUGUGGAAAGGAGAAGACAGCGUUAGUGUGACUGGUUUGCUCAGUUCUUAGUGGUACAAACAAAUAAAAGUUGCCUUGAAGUCUAGCCAGUCUCUCUCUCCACCACAUUCUUUUUCCUGGCUUUCAUCUGGUGUCUCCAAGCCAAUUACUGAAAAAAGACAGAUGUUUGUCAUUUGCGCUUGACCUGCUUACGCACUACUCGUCUCCUGCCUCUCAGAUAUCAAAGUAAGAUAUUAUGAGCAUACCAAUUUACUGUACUUAAAAUUACACACUUUAAAGUUUAAAGAUAUGGUAGAAUUUAAGACUGCACAAAUAAUUUAUAAAGCAAAAAAUAAACAGCUGCCUGGAAACAUACAACAAUUGUUCACAGAUAGAGAGGGGGGGUUAUAACUUGAGAGGGGCUUGUGGGGUGAUUUUGUGGAAUAGUCUGAACAAAUUGAUCAAACAAAGUGUAAAUAUGUUGCAAUUUAAAAAAAAAGGUAUAAAAGAUUUAUUUUUGAUAAGUGCAGAAGUGGGGAGGGAGAGUGAUAAUUCAACACUGUUGUUAAUGCUGCUUGAUUUUACAUAGUUUAGUCCUAUCCAGUGUCUAUCCUUCACUUCUUAGCUUGUCUCUGGAGCAUCUCUUGUCACUGUCCAGCAAUAGUCUGCAAGCAUUUGAUUUUAUCUGCACUGUUCACACAAGUACAAGGCACCUCUACUCACUUUGGCUAAACAGAAAUGUGUCCCUUUGCAAAAUCAAACACUGACAUAAGAGAGCAAAACACUGUAUGACAGGGAUAGAAAAAUCAGUUCAUGGAUAGUCUCAGGCUGAAUCCCAAGUUACACACUUCUAUGCACUUUCAGUCUUGUGGACUUGCUGCAGCGUGCGUGUAUCCGUUAAGUCCACGAGACCACAGGGUGUCCCAUUCAUCAUUUCAGGUUUCAGAAGGGUGCUCCCCCUUUGUGGCCGCUAUGCGCACUCGAUGCACACUCAGAGGAAGACCGUGAGGGUUUAGGGUGCGAUUUGGGAUUCAGCCACAGCCCUGCAGAGUUUGGCUUCAACCCUAUUAAACACACCAGAUCCAGCUCAGUCAAUCCUUCAGGCUUAUUUGAAAACGAUAAAAUACAGGUAUGUGUGUGUGUGUGUGUGUGUGUGUGUGUGUGUGUGUGUGUGUGUUUUGGAGCUUGAAACUAAACUUUGCAGGACUGUGGCCCUCCGGAAAUUGAGUUUUGCACAACUUCUGUAUGAUUUGUAGAGCUGAUAGGGCAGCUUGCUUAGCAGAGUGAUGUAAGUUUCGUUAUGAUCAUCCAUGACUAAUUUAAAAGAAUAUUUUAAUUGAUUUAUGAUUUAACUCAUAUCAUCUAUGAUGCAAUAUCAGCUUAAGAUGGCAUCAUUCAUUAUUUUGCCUAAAAUCAAGUACUGUCCAAACCCAGUCAUAGAUUUUUUUCAUAGAUUCACACUGUAUUGAAUUGCAUCAUUGCUGACACACGAAAUGCAGCUGGAGGGAAGGAAGAGAUUUUUCUAUAUAGGAAUUGCUAUCACAAACUUCAUAUGUUUUGGGUUGUUUAUGGUUGCUCAAACCGAGAAACCACAAGGAGGUUUUAUCAUUUAACUUUUUUUUUUUUUUUUUUUUACUUUAAAAGUUGUCGCUUUUAAUAGCAUUUUGCGUCUGCUGAUACUGAAAUUAAUAUGGAUACCUGCUUACCUUUUUUGUUUUUGACUCGGUUAAAUAUUCACAUUCUUCAUGGUAUCAUUUACAGGGAAGAGAAGCUAUUUUAUCCCACUGCAUGAUCAUUUGGUGUUUUCACUUAAGUUUUGUAAAAUUCUGUUUGACAGUGUUGAUCUGGUUACCGUGAAAACAGUGGCAUGGGCUGCUGCAUAUGGUAGAAAAUGUCCAAAUAAAAAAAUGUUUAACAAGC